UACGAGGGGGGCUAGCGUUGCUCGGAAUCACUGGGCGUAAAGCGCACGUAGGCGGAUUGCUAAGUCAGGGGUGAAAUCCUGGAGCUCAACUCCAGAACUGCCUUUGAUACUGGCGAUCUUGAGUCCGGGAGAGGUGAGUGGAACUGCGAGUGUAGAGGUGAAAUUCGUAGAUAUUCGCAAGAACACCAGUGGCGAAGGCGGCUCACUGGCCCGGUACUGACGCUGAGGUGCGAAAGCGUGGGGAGCAAACAGG
rnacentral:rRNA from 1 species